rnacentral:rRNA from 1 species
AAAAGAAACUAACAAGGAUUCCCCUAGUAACUGCGAGUGAAGCGGGAAAAGCUCAAAUUUGAAAUCUGGCAGUCUUUUUUUUCUUCUUUGGCUGUCCGAGUUGUAAUCUAGAGAAGUGCUUACCUGCGCUGGACCAUGUACAAGUCUCCUGGAAUGGAGCGUCGCAGAGGGUGAGAAUCCCGUCUNUGACAUGGACCGCCAGCGUGUUGUGGUGUGCUCUCAAAGAGUCGAGUUGUUUGGGAAUGCAGCUCUAAAUGGGUGGUAAACUCCAUCUAAAGCUAAAUAUUGGCGAGAGACCGAUAGUGAACAAGUACCGUGAGGGAAAGAUGAAAAGGACUUUGGAAAGAGAGUUAAACAGUAUGUGAAAUUGUUGAAAGGGAAACGCUUGAAGUCAGUUAUGUCGGCGAGGGAUCAGCCUAGCUUUGUCGCUGGGUGAAUUUCCUGGUCUGACAGGCCAACAUCAGUCUCGACCGCUGGAAAAGAGCAGAGGGAACGUGGCACCUUCGGGUGUGUUUAUAGCCCUUUGUCAUGUGUGGCGGUUGGGACUGAGGGAUGCAGCGUGCCGCGAGGCUGGGUUUCGACCANGUUCACGCUUAGGAUGUUGGCUUUUAAUGGCUUCAAUCGACCCGUCUUGAAACACGGACCAAGGAGUCUAACAUGCCUGCGAGUGUUUGGGUGGAAAACCCUUGCGCGCAAUGAAAGUGAAAGUUGAGAUCCCUGUCAUGGGGAGCAUCGACGCCCGGACUUGAGCUUUCAGCGACGGAUCCGCGGUGGAGCAUGCAUGUUGGGACCCGAAAGAUGGUGAACUAUGCCUGAAUAGGGCAAAGCCAGAGGAAACUCUGGUGGAGGCUCGUAGCGAUUCUGACGUGCAAAUCGAUCGUCAAAUUUGGGUAUAGGGGCGAAAGACUAAUCGAACCAUCUAGUACCUGGUCCCUGCCGAAGUUUCCCUCAGGAUAGCAGAAGCUC